rnacentral:rRNA from 1 species
GACGAACGCUGGCGGCGUGCUUAACACAUGCAAGUCGAACGGUGAGGCCCUGCUUUUGUGGGGUUCUCGAGUGGCGAACGGGUGAGUGACACGUGUGUAACCUGCCCUUGACUUUGGGAGAACUUCAGGGAACAGGGGUGAUUACCGGAUAUGAGAUCUUUCUGCAUGGUGUGUGUGGUAAAGUUUCGGCGGUUGGGGAUGGACUCGCGGCUUAUCAGUUUGUUGGUGGGGUAGUGGCUUACCACGGCAUUGACGGGUAGCCAGACUGAGAGGGUGACCGGCCCCAUACGGACAGAGAUACGGCCAAGACUCAUACGGGAGGAAGCAGUGAGAGACAGACCAAAAUGCGCGGAAGCAGGAUGCAGCAACGCCGCGUCCGGGAUGACGGCCUGCGGGUUAUAACCCGCGUUCGCCUGUAAAGCAGCGCGAGUGACGGUAAUGAGCCAAAAAGCAACGGCUAACUACGUG